rnacentral:lncRNA from 1 species
ACCCAGUAACCCGUGGCCGCUGGCAGCUACAGGUGGUGCCUGACAAGAGGCCUGAAAGCAGAAAGGACGACUGGGGGUACACUGUCUUGGUGGGGCUCCAUGGAAAACAGAAGAAGAUGUAUCUUGCAUGAAUGCUGCAGGAGCACACUAGCUGCCAGAAUGAUUCCUGUGACAUUCUGACCCAUAGGCUUGCUGAGUGCUCUGACGAUGGUGACAGGAAAGCUGUAUUGGGUAUGUGUUCUUGACUCACCUUUGCUUGCCUGUGUCCCAGAUUAGACAAGCUAAGUUGCCUUGCUUCAAGCUUUUAAACAUUGUGGGACAAAGAACAUAGAGACUGUGAAAACUGAUUUAGAAAAAUUAAUCAAGAGGACUUAUAAUGACUUUUCUCUUUCCUUUAAUGUGACCAGUUAUUCUGACUCAAUCAUGGACUGAUCUAGAAAUAAAUCCAAUAUUGAAGAUUCCUAUUAUGAAGAUAGCUAAAACUCUUUAUCAGCCAGCAGAGUUAACUUGGAGCACAGCCUCCACUAUUUACAUGAGAACUAACAGUUUUUCUGUUGAUUCUCAAAGCCACCUCCUUCACUCUGGGAGGCCAGACUUGGGUCUGAUUGUUGCUAAUUUGCAACUGAAUUAAGUGCCUGGGACAUCCCCACAGACAACCUUAAUCCUGUUGCUUUCAACUUUGACUUUCUAGUUCAAGAAGAUCAGUUACCUCCAAACAGGCUCGUCUUCAGCAAAGCUCAGAUGGCAGUGAUUCAUUGUUAUGAAGAGAUGAAUUGAGUGCAUAUAGUGGCUUUGGUCUGAAUGGGAAAAAAGUGUGCAUUGAGGGCUGGAAGCCAAAGAUGGGCCACUGAUGAUGCGAUGACUCUUAUCAACCUAAGACAGAGGCAUGUGCCAAAAGGCCGUGUUUGUUCAUAAUAAACACUAAAAUGCCAUAUUUGUGCAAAUAAACACAAACAAGCUGCACGUGUUCUCCAGGACGGGUCAGAAGGAGUAUAGACAUUCAGACCUAAGCCAGGCACAGCCACUAGCCACCAUAAUCCCCAGGCAGGACCAUGGAGCAUAAGUAAAUUUUAUGCCCCAGUCCAGCUAAGUUUUAAUAAAUAAAAAGGGAGGAAUUGUGCCCCUCCCCAGCCUUGAGCAGGCUGGCUCAGACCUGGUUUGCCACAGUUGCUAGCCCACCUAGGGUGGAGUCUUUCAACCUAGGUAAAGUCUAUUGUCCUACCACAUCUGCAGUUUCCUCCAAGACGCCAUUACCUGCUGAGAGGCUGAACCUGUUCUCCUGACACUAUCCAGACAAUGCAAGGAGAUCCUGGCAUGGUGGGGGGAUGGGUUCCCCCCUUUCUAAGCUCAGACUCAUAAGUAAACAUUGAGCCUUGAUCAGAGAACUUUGUCUUGGCUCAUUAUUUCUCUCGCCGCCUUUUCCAUCCAAAUCCCAUCUUUCCUUUUAGGAACCCAGUAACUUGUGGCCGCUGGUGGCUACAGUGAUGUUUUGUACAGGUAUAGAAACCCUAACUAAGACAAUGUAUACGAGUAUAUUUGUAUACAUGAGUGUAUACACACACACACACACACACACACACACACACAGACACAACAUAUGCU